GGUGGAGUAGCGGUUUAAGUGGUAGACUAGCACUCUGGAGACCAGGGUUCAAAUCCUGGCUUAGCCA